AGAGUUUGAUCCUGGCUCAGGACGAACGCUGGCGGCGUGCUUAACACAUGCAAGUCGAACGGAAAGGCCCUUCGGGGUACUAGAGUGGCGAACGGGUGAGUAACACGUGGGUGAUCUGCCCUGCACUUUGGGAUAAGCCUGGGAAACUGGGUCUAAUACCGAAUACACCCUUCUGGCUGCAUGGUCUGGUUGGGGAAAGCUUUUGCGGUGUGGGAUGGGCCCGCGGCCUAUCAGCUUGUUGGUGAGGUUACGGCUCACCAAGGCGACGACGGGUAGCCGGCCUGAGAGGGUGACCGGCCACACUGGGACUGAGAUACGGCCCAGACUCCUACGGGAGGCAGCAGUGGGGAAUAUUGCACAAUGGGCGCAAGCCUGAUGCAGCGACGCCGCGUGAGGGGUGACGGCCUUCGGGUUGUAAACCUCUUUCGCCAGGGACGAAGCGCAAGUGACGGUACCUGGAGAAGAAGGACCGGCCAACUACGUGCCAGCAGCCGCGGUAAUACGUAGGGUCCGAGCGUUGUCCGGAAUUACUGGGCGUAAAGAGCUCGUAGGUGGUUUGUCGCGUUGUUCGUGAAAACUCACAGCUCAACUGUGGGCGUGCGGGCGAUACGGGCAGACUGGAGUACUGCAGGGGAGACUGGAAUUCCUGGUGUAGCGGUGGAAUGCGCAGAUAUCAGGAGGAACACCGGUGGCGAAGGCGGGUCUCUGGGCAGUAACUGACGCUGAGGAGCGAAAGCGUGGGGAGCGAACAGGAUUAGAUACCCUGGUAGUCC
rnacentral:rRNA from 1 species